rnacentral:rRNA from 1 species
GCGCAGCAGGCGAGAAUCCUUCGCAAUGCGGGAAACCGCGACGAGGGGACUCCCAGUGCCUACGCUCAGCGUAGGCUGUUCCCGAGCCUAGAAAGCUCGGGGAGUAAGGGCUGGGUAAGACGGGUGCCAGCCGCCGCGGUAAUACCCGCGAGCCCGAGUGGUGGCCACUAUUAUUGGGCCUAAAGCGUCCGUAGCCGGCCCGGUAAAUGCCUGGGUAAAUCGUGAGGCCUAACCUCACGAAUUCCGGGUAGACUGCCGGGCUAGGGACCGGAGGAGGGGAGAGGGGUACUCCGAGGGGUAGGGGUGAAAUCCUGUAAUCCCUGGAGGACCACCGGUGGCGAAGGCGCUCUCCUAGGACGGUCCGACGGUGAGGGA